GUUGAGGUGGCUCAGUGGUAGAGCAUAUGCUUUGCAUGCAUGAGGUCCCAGGUUCAGUUCCCAGCAUCUCUU
rnacentral:tRNA from 1 species